UACGUAGGGGGCAAGCGUUAUCCGGAUUUACUGGGUGUAAAGGGAGCGUAGACGGCGGUGCAAGCCAGAUGUGAAAGCCCGGGGCUCAACCCCGGGACUGCAUUUGGAACUGUGCUGCUAGAGUGUCGGGGAGGCAGGCGGAAUUCCUAGUGUAGCGGUGAAAUGCGCAGAUAUUAGGAGGAACACCAGUGGCGAAGGCGGCCUGCUGGACGAUGACUGACGUUGAGGCUCGAAAGCGUGGGGAGCAAAUAGG
rnacentral:rRNA from 1 species